CCUUAUUUGAUUUUCUUCGGAACUGAAGAUUUGGUGAUUGAGUGGCGGACGGGUGAGUAACGCGUGGGUAACCUGCCCUGUACAGGGGGAUAACAGUCAGAAAUGACUGCUAAUACCGCAUAAGACCACAGCACCGCAUGGUGCAGGGGUAAAAACUCCGGUGGUACAGGAUGGACCCGCGUCUGAUUAGCUGGUUGGUGAGGUAACGGCUCACCAAGGCGACGAUCAGUAGCCGGCUUGAGAGAGUGAACGGCCACAUUGGGACUGAGACACGGCCCAAACUCCUACGGGAGGCAGCAGUGGGGAAUAUUGCACAAUGGGGGAAACCCUGAUGCAGCGACGCCGCGUGAGUGAAGAAGUAUCUCGGUAUGUAAAGCUCUAUCAGCAGGGAAGAAAAUGACGGUACCUGACUAAGAAGCCCCGGCUAACUACGUGCCAGCAGCCGCGGUAAUACGUAGGGGGCAAGCGUUAUCCGGAAUUACUGGGUGUAAAGGGUGCGUAGGUGGUAUGGCAAGUCAGAAGUGAAAACCCAGGGCUUAACUCUGGGACUGCUUUUGAAACUGU
rnacentral:rRNA from 1 species